CCUACGGGAGGCAGCAGUGAGGAAUAUUGGUCAAUGGUCGCGAGCCUGAACCAGCCAAGUAGCGUGAAGGAUGACUGCCCUGCGGGUUGUAAACUUCUUUUAUCAGGGAAUAAAGUGAGGCACGUGUGCCUGUUUGUAUGUACCUGAUGAAUAAGCAUCGGCUAACUCCGUGCCAGCAGCCGCGGUAAUACGGAGGAUCCGAGCGUUAUCCGGAUUUAUUGGGUUUAAAGGGAGCGUAGAUGGGUUGUUAAGUCAGGUGUGAAAGUUUGGGGCUCAACCGUAAAAUUGCAUUUGAUACUGGCAGUCUUGAGUACAGUAGAGGUAGGCGGAAUGCGUGGUGUAGCGGUGAAAUGCAUAGAUAUCGCGAAGAACUCCGAUUGCGAAGGCAGCAUACUAACCUGCCACUGACAUUGAUGCACGAAAGUGUGGGUAUCAAACAGGAUUAGAUACCCGAGUAGUC
rnacentral:rRNA from 1 species